rnacentral:lncRNA from 1 species
GUCGGGCCCUUGAGGGGGGUGGAUUGUAAGAUCCCACAUCAACCAACAGAGAGGGGGUGAUGUGCCUUAUAUGUGCACACCCGCAUCCAUCUAGCACGAGGCCUUUUGGGAGCUCACUGGCUUCGGAGUCGUAGGAACUCCGAAGUUAAGCGAGUUGGGGGCCAGAGCAAUCCCAGGAUGGGUGACCCACUGGGAAGUUGCUCGUGAGCUCUGAGAAACAAAACCGUGAGGGUAGAGAGGGGGGCCCAAAGAGGACAAUAUCGUGCUACGGCGGAGCCUAUCCCGGGAUGUGACAUCCUAGGUCUAUUGGGCUUGUCAUCAAGCUACGCAACCUGCGAUUAGGCCAGAAGAAGCAAGUCGGCAUGGCCCAACCUGAGCUCGACCGCUCUUCUCAACUUGAUCCAACUUUCAAUUUUAUCCAAAAUUGAAGGAAUCCUCUUGCGAGAUAGAAAUCCAAUCGGCGCAUUGGCGCUGACCUGACUCCUUCCCAUUCUCCAAAGCAAAUCGAUCUAGGAGAAUAAGGCGAAAAAAGGGACCAAUAGGUUCACCCUUGUGACGACCCAACCCUAAAAUUUCAUGCUUGGACUAGGUUUGGGCUUGGAUUUUAAAGUUAGAGCAUUUUUGGGCUAGGCUGGGCUAGGUUAGGGUUUCAUUACCUCGGUCUAAGUUCACCUACAUUGGUUGGGUCAUUCGGGUUUGAUCAAGCGAGUUGGGGUAAGCCUGGCCAAUUAACCUUUUUAUUAUUAAGAAAAUUUGAGAAACCCAAUUUCGCAACCUGCGAUUAGGCCAGAAGAAGCAAGUCGUCAUGGCCCAACCCGAGCUCGGCCGCUCUUCUCAACUUGAUCCAACUUUCAAUUUUAUCCAAAAUUGAAGGAAUCCUCUUGCGAGAUAGAAAUCCAAUCGGCGCAUUGGCGCUGACCUGACUCCUUCCCAUUCUCCAAAGCAAAUCGAUCUAGGAGAGUAAGGCGAAAAAAGGGACCAACAGGUUCACCCUUGUGACGACCCAACCCUAAAAUUUCAGGCUUGGACUAGGUUUGGGCUUGGAUUUUAAAGUUAGAGCAUUUUUGGGCUAGGCUGGGCUAGGUUAGGGUUUCAUUACCUCGAUCUAAGUUCACCUACAUUGGUUGGGUCAUUCGGGUUUGAUCAAGCGAGUUGGGGUAAGCCUGGCCAAUUAACCUUUUUAUUAUUAAGAAAAUUUGAGAAACCCAAUUUUUUAUUGUAAAAUCAAUAAAAUAAAAGUAACAAAAUACAUAUUAAUUAUAGACUAAAAAUAUCAUAUAAGAUAGAAGUAUACUUAUAUUUCAUUUAUAAUAUGGAGCGGGCCGGGCUCGGUUAGGCCAUAUUGGGCUCAAAGGGUUGGGCAAUAAUAUAUUUAUGUUUUAUUUAACAUAUGGGUGGGCUUUAGCGGGUCAAGUUAGGUUGGGCCAUAUUGAGUUCAAAUGGGUGGGGCCUUAAGAAUAACCAAUCAUUAUUUUUUAUUAGUCGAAUAACCAAUAAUUCAACUAAUGGAAUACUCCCAAAAUUUUUCCUGCAAAAUCUUUUGCCCCUAAAUUUGGAUGAGGGAAAAUAACUCGGGAUUUAGCUAAAAGUCUAGAAUUUAAGAGGAGAAAUUGACAAUUCCCUUGUUUGGCAACUUAAGUGUGGAAUUUAUUAAAUGACGCACGGAAAAAAUCAUGGAAAUUGAGACAUCAAAUUUCCGAGUUUAAUUUCCAUCAAAAUAGGCCUCAUUUCACAAUUUCCAUAUUGGGGGAAUUCAUAUUUUCCAGAGUACCAAAACUUACAUAAAAAAUAAUAAUAAAUAAAAAAUAAAAGCGCCAAACUUUUCAUUUUUUUUAUAAAAAAAAGCGCCAAAAACCGAUGAUAAAACCUUGAAAAAUAGAGAUUGCGAGCCUAGUUGCGUAAAGGCAUCAUAAAAAAGUUGCAAGCUAGAGAAGUAAGGAGAAGGAGUUCUUCUUGAGUUACACGUCUCUCUGGAUCAAAUAUAAAGGUUAGUCUUCACGCUUUUCUCUCCUUCAAUUUAUGUUUUUCUAUUUUACUAUGUUUUCUGAAUGGCUAUCAAAAUUGGGUGUUUCUAGCUAAAUUUAUGAAUAUGUUAUGAAUGGGUUUUGUGAUCUUUGAGGCACUAUGGCUAGAUUUUGGGAAGUUUUACAAAAUAAUCUAUGCCCAUGGAUAUUAGUGUGUGGUAUGUGUUUAUGGUGCAGCUCUAUAUUUGUUUUCUGGCUUUAUCACUUUGUGUGAUGCUUUUGUCUUCUCUGCUGUCUAUAUGCUUUGUUUUCUAGUUUUCUUGGAUUGUUACAACUAUUAGUAUGUUGUGUUGGCUUUUCAUGUCAUGUAGUGAGUUACAACUAAAUCAGAAAGUAAUAUUAAUUCACACAUAUAAAUCGUGCAUCAAAUUCUUUUGAUAUUCUUUCAACAAAGGAAAAAGUUGUUGUCAAAGAUGUUAUUGCUGAUUCAAUUGCUAGAAUGGCUUUAUCAUUUGAAGAGUUUAUACAUGCUGAUACUAAGAACCUUGCUCCAGCAUAGGUAUAAGCUGAAGUACAAGUAGUACCAGGUCUUAGUGAAAAUGAACAACUCAAAGGAUGUGCUUGGCUGAUAGAAAAUGACAAACAAUUUCAGAUGUUGAAGGCACUCCCAAUUAAGAAAAAAAAAAUGUAUGUUGCUGAUGUUUAUUGCACAUGGGGAGUGAUUUGGUUUGCUAAUAUGUUCUGUUUGUUUAAGUUGAGUUAUUUAGUUCAUCCAAAGAUAUGUUAUUUUAUACUUCGAGGAAUACCUUCUAUGUCGAUUAUCAGUUUUUUUUUCUUUUGAAAUAUUUAAUUUCUGUCAUUUACAAUUUACAUGAGCUAUCCAAACAUUGAAAUUUUCAAUUUUUUUCAUUUACAAAACUCAACAUACAUAAAUCCAAACACUGAAAUCUUCAAUUGCCAGCAAGUGAAGGCGAAAAUCUAAAUUCCAUCAUUUUAGAAUUCUAUGUAAUUUGGAACUCCUUCAUCCAAACGGAUCUCUACCAUUAUGCAUAAUUAAUUGAAUUCCUUAAAAUUAAUAUUGGAAAGUUGUGUCUUCAUUCAGUUCAAGGUGGGCUUCUUCAAAAUAGAAGAACAUGGGCAAUGCCACCGAAUAUAAUCCUCAUGAUGCUGCCUUGGUGUGCCCUUUUUUAUGUCUAUAAAACCAUGGUAGAGGUAAUGAGCGGGUCUUGAGUUCAAAAAAAUCAUAAACCGCUAUAUACAAGUUGGGUUAUGGGUUGGAAUCAAAACUUAAAAGUAGGCUUAAUUUUGAGUUAACCCAAUCGAAUCGCCUAACCUAAUCACAAAAAGGUUGGCUUGAGUUGGGUUGGCCUAAUAAUGAGCAAGUCCUGGGUCCAAGAAAUCAUAAACCUCCAUAUAUCAGGUUGGGGCUAAAACCAACCCAACCCACUAUAAUCAGAUUGGGCAGUUCGGUCAAAUUGACUCCAAAUUGUGCCCACCCCUAACAACAACCACUGUUCCAAUAAAUAGGACACCAUGACUUUCUGCAUGGUAUGGUAAACUUUGUCCACAAACCACGAAUACUUCUCGACAUGCAAUAGGAGAGCUUGGGCAAUGAAAUAAGGCUCAGCUGAAGUAGGAAGCUUGAGGGAUGAUCCAUCCCCACCCCAUAAUUCUAGACAUAGGAUUGGCAAGCUCAGCAUUACCGACGAAAUCAUGGUGUUUCCCUUUUGUCGGCCAAGUAGGCAGAUUGAAGGAGUUUUUCUGUCCUUUUUUAAUUGAGUGUGCGACGUGUCACCACCAAGUUGCAAAUGGCUUGAAUGGAAUGUAAGUAGAUGAUGCAUCUGUUGACCCAUUCGAGACGCGAUGUCUCUUAGUUACAAUCCCUUGCUUCAAGGGAACACCCUUUGAUUCCAUCACAAAGAAAUAGAAUGUGUGUGUUUGUUUUUGCGAUUGCCUCUAAUUCAAACCUUAGGGUGCCUACGUAUCCCUUGCAGAUAUCAAGUCACUCGUAGUUCAAAGAAUCACAAUGAAUAAAUGACUCAUUGCAAGAAAAUUUUGAUUUGAAUUGUAUUGAGAAGUGUUUGAGUGAAUUUAGCUUAAUAAACCAGGGAUUCAAUGUGGAAUUGUGUUUGGGGCGAAUUUGCUUAAAAAAUGAACUAAGGAUUCAAAUUUGGUUGCGGUUGCGUCUCUUGGUAUGGUAGACUGCCUACGUACCCUUGAUGGGAUCAAACCAACGUAGUUCGGAAUUGAUUUGUGUGGAGAUGGAUAUUUGAUUUGUGGGAAUUUGGUUAAUGUAACUAGUGAUUCAAAUUUGGUUGCAGUUGCGUCUAUUGGGAUGCUAGACUGCCUACGUACCCUUGAUGGGUAACUGUGGCCCACUAAUUUAGAAUUUGUGUCUUUAAGACAAUUUGGAGAUUUUCAUAAGUAGAUGACACAUGGGAAAAAUUGGAAAUUAAUGGGUAAUUGUGGCCCACUAAUUGAGAAUUUGUAUUUGAGAGAUUUAAAUUUAAUCUCAUUGAAAUUUGCAUUGGUAGAUGACCCAUGGAAAGAAUUGGAUGAUUUUGUACGUUUUUUUUUUAUUGUCAAUGUCCGAGAAAAAUAAUGAGCAAUUUUGAUGAACCUACUAAUUUUCUACAAUUAACAUUUGCAUUUGGACCCAAACAUGGCUAUGAGGAUUUUAAAAUUGAUCCAUUAACCAUAUAAUAGGUAAUUUAGGCCUUUGUAAAUUUAAUGGGUAAUUAUUUGGAUUACCCAUUAAAUAUUUUGGCUUUUGAGAACUCAUGGGCAAAUAUUUUUGACAACCCAUUAAUCUGUUUCGGACCUUUGAUAUUUGUUAUCAAUUAGCUCGUGAGCAAGGAGUCCAUAUCAGAAAAUCUUUGGUAUCCAGCAGCCAAUUGAAGCCAACCUGAUAGCUAUGAAACUCUUCUAGAGUUUAUUUCCAAAUAAAACCAGGUUUUACAACUCCCAUGUUUAUCUGGAGUACUUGAGAUUAACUCAAAUAUUUCACUAUAUAUCUUCAAAAGAUCAAACAACAAUUUUGAAACAAGUAUUGUUCGUGUGAAGCAAGUUGGGAGAGAAAACCAACAAUAAGGCUUGUUUCUUUAUUUUUUAACUCCUUUUCCUUUUAGCUGGUGUAGGGGUCUUUUUGUUCCAGCAGCCUGACGGAUGGGCUUAGGCUGCUAUAAGAGAAAGACAAACAAAAUCCCCCUGUGCUUGAAUUCAAGAACCAGGCUCCAAAAGAGUUCUGAAAAGUUUGUUGAAACCAUAGAAAACUCUUUGGGCUCCUUUCACCAAUAACCAGAUAAACAUGAUAGAUUAAUAAGUGACUUGGCUUGAGAAGUUUGUGGCAUAAGGCCUUCCAAAUUUAGCCAUAGAGAGAAAGAGCAUGAAUUUCUAAAUAAAAUGAAGGCCUGAAGUAAAGGAGAAAAGGCUUUUGGGGAGAUUUUGACUAAGGAAGAAAAAAGAUCGGAGCAGAGGGGAGGAUUUCUUGAAAUAAAUUCUAGUUUGGUCGACAAAAGCUUGGUCGUGCUCUGGAUGAUUGUGUGUUUUAUUGGGUAGAAGUGGCCUCCUUUUAUAGGCACGUUAGAUUUCUAUUUUAUCAAAACUCCUUCUUUUCUUAUCCUUCUUCCCUCAAAUCCUAUUUGUGAAAACUUCCUUAGUCUGAACCCAUAGGCCUGAAGCUCUUGAGGUUCCAAGGUUCUCACGCAGCUAGACCUCUUCAUGUGGGUAAGGCGCCACCCACUUUUUUCCCUGGUUUUCCUGCUAAAGAUGGAGGAAGGAAUAAACAAAGGUAGGAGCCUUAAUCCAAUGGGUAUUAUAUCUGUCUUGUGAAUUUCCUUUGGUCCUUUGUAAUGGCUCUUGUUUGACCUGGUUCUAACAGCUAGAUGCAAUGCUAGAUUUUUUAUAAGGCACUGGGCUGGGCUUUUUCCUAAGGUACUGGGUCACAGGCUUCCUAUUUUUAGCCGCCAACUAAGCCUUUUGAGAUUUCGUCAAGCUGCUAGAAGUGGCUUUUGACGAGGCACUUGGUAGGGGCUUUUCCUAAGUGUUGCGGAUCUUUAUAUAUUUUUCCUAAGGCAUUGGACCACCUUCUCUUUCUCUCUCUCCAUGGCUUGCCCAUGUCCUUAGGCUCAACAGAUGGGCUUGAGUUUUGGAUGCUCCCAAGGAACCAAAAACUUCCAUCCCUUGAACCCACAAUAGGCUUCGUGAGGACUCAUGUCCAUCCAUACCACAACCUUCUCAGCAAGCCCCAAGUUUCUUGUUUUACGUGGCUUGGGCCCAAGUAAGCUCGUAGCGUGGCUUGGAGUUAGGAUGGCGGUCUUUUGGCUUGGCAUUGUGUGUCUAUUUGACAUAUUCAUGCUUGAAUUCUUAUUAUGCUAUAAUUGGCUAUGACCGAACUAAAUUGCACCUAACAGGUUGAUGCACGUGGGCUUACAGGAUCGACAUGUUUUAUGAGUUUUCUUUGACCCUUCUGCGUGUCGGGUAUGUGUGUUUGGGCUAGGAUUAAGCUUGGGCCUAGCCUUGGAUUUUUUUGGGCCUCAAUAGCUGGCAUCUCCUUCCUCCAUCUUGGCCAUCAUCAUUUAUUUUGUCUAUCAUUCAAGCAAAGUGGCGCACAGCCACUUUCUUCUUCUUUUUUUUUUUUUUUUGUUUGUUGACUUUUCUUCCUCCUCUUACUGUUUUUUCCUUUUGUCUGAUCACACACUAACACAACUCCUUCCUCUUGCUAUUUCUGUUCAUUUCUUUUUCUACUGUAGCGAACCUUUUUCCAUUGUCAUAUCCAAAACAAAACACAGAGCUUCUUUUAUUUUGAUUGUGUGCACACAAACACCAAAUGAGGAAUUCAAGAAGGAGUAUGUUAGAAAAAUAAGGAGAUUGCUGUGGAGAAUAUCUCUUCUAUUUCUUGAUAUUGAAAUAUACAAUAGGAGGUCAUUCUUAUCCAAUCAAUAGCUAAGCCAUUCUAGGUAAGUCUUGUACAGAAAGUAAAUCACAAUCUCUAAUUUAUACGAUCGUAUUACUAAGGAAUUCCUGUUUCUUCCCAUUAAUACUCCCCCUCAAGCUGGAGCGUGUAUGUCAAGAACGCCGAACUUGCCAAGUAGGGAACAAAACAUUAGCUAACCGAGUAGCUUGGUGAACAUGUCGGCAAGUUGACAUGCUGAGGACACAUGAGCUGUCACGAUUGCUCCUGAUUGAAUCCAUUCUCGAACAACAUGACAAUCGAUCUUGGUUCGUUCAUGGUAAACCGGAUUUGCAGUGAUAUGAAGUGUCACUUGACUAUCAGAAAACAGCUUGGCCGAUUGUGGGUGCUCAACCCACAAAUCAUGCAGCAAGUACCUAAACCAAGUAAGCUUAAAUGUGAUGGAAGCCAUAGCUCGAUAUUCCGAUUCGGCAGAGGACCUUGAUACAGUAGUUUGCUUCUUAGUCCUCCAUGAAAUAAGAGCUCUUUCGAGAAAAAUGCAAUAACCAAUAACGGAUCGCCUCGUAAUAGAACAUCGAACCUAGUCUACAUCACAGAAUCCAUUUGACAAUAAAUUCCCUUUGGAUGGAAAAUAUAAACCUUGCCCCAGUGCUCCUUUUAAGUAUCGCAAAAGAUGAUGGACGGCAUCAAGAUGUGGUUUCCUUGGUUCCUACAUAAAUUGACUUAAAAUGUGAACCGAGUACGUGAUUUCUGGUCUUGUGAUAGUGAGAUAAAUAAGCCGCCCAACCAACCGUCUAUAAAGUGAUGGGUUCUUCAAUAAAUCUCCUUUUGUGGGUGUUUGGACUAAAAUUCUGCACGCUAACCCAUUUUUGUCGAGAGGCCCAUGAACCAAAUAUUUGGGCUUUCAUUUACAUGAAUCAGAGGGAAAAACCAAGACACUGGAAAAGCCCAAACCCUUUUGAACAAAUUACAAAUAUAGUUAUGAUCUGAAAAGAAUAAAAUACUUGCAAUUAAAGAAUUGAUACACACCAUUUUGGAUAAAAGCCCAGCUUCUCAGAAGAUCUCACCACUUAGUCUCUAUCCCAAAAAGCAAAAACAGCAGAUCUUUUUCUCAAGGAAGCCCCACGUGAAUUCUUGACUUUGAAAAAGUCAAAGUUUUCAAACUAUCACAUAGGAGUUGAGAGGAAGUUAAUGAAGGCAGGUCUUACAGAAAGACUUCUCCAUUUUUUACAGCCAAAGAAAGAAGAUCAAAUUCCCUUUUUAUAUACACUAAAGUAGGUGACCUUUCCGAGAGAUAAGCAUGCUACAUUUUCAAGAGAUAAGUAGGGAGCAUGGGAGUUGUUCACCAGGAAAAGCAAACUGACUAUCAUGGCAGAUUGUGUUUUUUACAAGAAACAAACAUAGAACAAGAAGAGUUGGUUUUCUUUCAGAAAAGCAAGGAAAAGACCUUUAUGAAAGCUAAUUGUUGAUGGCUCUUAUCUGCCAAAACAAUAACUUCCUUCUUUUACGGCAUUGAAAAGAGAAAAAGAUUUUGGAAAGAUCUGCCGCCCAUUAUUAAAGAAUAAAAGACUCAUUCCAGCAUUUCCUAUAAAUAUGAGAGGAGGUGAACAAAUCAAAGGAUAGCCAAAAAAUCAAUCAAGACAAAAAACUCCCAAAGUCAUAACUGAGAAAUUCAAAAUGAUCAAUUGAUCUCAAAAGCCUUCAAACACUGGAGCGACCAAAGCUCAUUGAGCCACAAGAAACAAGUCAAGCUAGAAUUCGAAACUCUGAUCUCAGUUCAGUUCAGAGAAGUAGUUUUACAAAGUGAGAUUUCUCUCGUUACAAAUUUGGUUCAGCACAAAGCCAAGUCAAGUAGAGUCAGGGUUUUUCACAAAUAUGAAAACCUCAACAAAUUUACAGAAAGCCUUGGUCAAGCAGAACAAGCACCAUAGCGUAGUUCUAGCUCAGUGACCAUCAAUCUAGCCACUUCUGUCCCUUUCAAACUGGAGAGGUCUCAAUUCUGUCCGUUCAGCAAGCCUUCCAUGCCUAAUAAUAAAUUGAAGCUCUGCCAAACUCAAGCGUUGGUAUCGAUUUCCAGCUGAAACUCAUUAGUUGAAGGUGUUGGACACAUCCAAUCUAGCCCAGUUCAGAGGCAGCUAUCCAGGCAGAAAUCGAAGUCCAACAUUCUGUUGUCUUGUUUCGGAGUUGUCAUUUCAUUUUUGAGUCUUGUAAUAGACAGUUCUGCCUGAACAGUUUGUCUUCUUUUCAUUUAUUCUGGCCAGAACUACCAAUUUUUUACUAUGAAAAAUUAUGAAGUCCUCACCAGUUUGAGGCAUAAAAAGAACUUACUUAGGUGAUAUUCCUCACCCAAAUUCAAAAUUGCUUGUUUAAAAGUCAGUAACUUAGGGCUCAAGUUAUCUAUUUUUUAGAAGUCUGCUAGGGUUUUGAACUGCUAGCAGUGGCACGCUCACUCACAAAAGAAAGUUGACUUCUUGACCACUAAUGGGGAACUUUACCCUACCAUCACAGAAUUAAAAUCAAAAUAGGUGAACAGUGGGUAAUAACUUAAUGUUCACUUCCAUGGGUGUUGACAACGGUUUGGCCCCAAGCAAACUUGCCUCAUUCAAAAUAUCAAAUGUAUAUUUUCGUUGAGAUAUUGGAAUCCCAUCAGUGGAGCAAGAAACUUCGACACCAAGGAAGUACCGCAUUUGACCAAGGUCUUUAAUGCGAAAUUUGGUGCGAAUAAAGUCUUUAAGAGAGGCAAUGGCAUUGUCAUCGUUGCUGGUGAUGAUCAUGUCAUCUACAUAGAUGAGUACAACUGUGAAAGAGGUGCCAGACACUUUAGUGAACAGGGAAUAGUCAGCAUUUGACUGAUAAAAACCACCUUGUUGGAUAGCAUCAGAGAACUUGUGGAACCAGCUACGAGAAGCUUGUUUGAGCCCGUAAAGGGAUUUGUUGAGUCGGCACACCAUAUGUUGCUCCCCCUAUUGACGAAAACCAGGAGGUAGUUGCAUGUACACCUCCUCAGUGAGAUUACCAUGGAGAAAUGCGUUCUGGACAUCUAUUUGGUGGAGAAACCAAUGACGGAUGGCGGCAACAGCAAGCAAGCAAGCAAGGGGCGGUGGGCAAUUUGGCGACAAGAGCAAAUGUCUCUUUAUAAUCAAUUCCUUCAUGUUGAGUGAAGCCUUUCGCCACCAACCAAGCCUUGUAGCUCUCAACCGUACCAUCUGAGUUGUACUUAAUUUUGUAGACCUACUUACACCCAAUAGGAUAAUGACCGGAAGGGAGAGAUGUAAGGGUCCAUGUUUGAUUUUGUUCAAGGGCUGUCAGUUCCGCAACCAUGGCUUGGCUCCAAUGAGGAUCCAAAGCAGUAUGUUCAUAAGUCGCAGGCUCCACAAGAAUGGUGAUAUUAUAGAAAAAACUCUAAUAAGGAGAAGAAAGUUGUGCAUAAGAAAGAUACCGCGAUAAGGGGUGACGUGUACCUGACGAAGAAUAUGACGGGCGGUGAGCAACCAUAACCGUGUUGUAAACAUGGAAGUCACACAAUUUGACAUUGGGUUGUGGGAGACGAUUAGAACGUCAGAGGGGAGCAGUGAUGAGGGUCAGUUGGGUAGGGGCAAAAGGUUAAUCAUGGGAUGAGUCUGGUAUGUCAGGCGUGUCCGUAAGGUUUGGAGAAGGGAUUGGAUUGGGAAAGUCGGAUGGGUCAGCUGAGUCUGGGCCAGGAGCAUGGGAGUCAUUUGUGUUGGGGCCGAUUGGGCUUAGAAGAAAAGGUGAUGUCUCGGAGUCCUGUGAAAGAAGGAGAACAAUCAUAUCUGGUUGAUGCUCUUGGGGAUGGGUACUAAAUGGAAAAACAUUUUCAUGGAAGACAACAUCCCGGGAGGAAAAAAAUUUAUGUGUGGUGAGAUCGUAAACCCAAUAGCCCUUUUGACCAAGAGGAUAACCAACAAAAAUGCAACGGCAAGCUCAUUGAUCAAAUUUAUGUGAAGGUGUGAGGUUAGUGGCAUAGCAAAGGCACCCAGAAGUACGAAGAUGAGUAUAUGUGGGUUGCAUUGUGUGAAGCAUUUCGUAUGGUGAUUUGUGAGAAAAAAGAGGUGUAGGUAGGUGAUUGAUCAAAUAACAAGCCGUUUGAAUACUUUUCCCCCAAAAUUGUAAAGGCAAGUUGGCUUGAAGCCGGAGAGCCUUUCCCAUGUUCAAAAGAUGAUGGUGUUUGCGGUCAACAACCCCAUUUUGUUGGGGGGGUUGAGGGGCAUGAGUGGUGGAAAAAAAUUCCUUUUGUAUCUAGGAAGGGUCGCAUGGAUAUAAAUUCAGCUCCGUUGUUAGCUCGAAGAGUUUUGAUGUGAAAAUUGAAAUGUGUUUCUGCUUAAAAAGUAAAUGAUUGUAGUAUCCCUUGUGUUUCUUAUUUAAAACUCAUGAGAUGUAUCCAAGUAUAAAGUGUAAAAUCAUCAACAAUUGUUAAGAAAUAACAAGCCCUUAAAUGGGAAUUUAUUCGAUGCAAUCCCAAAAUAUCACAAUGUAUUAAAUUGGAAGAUGCAUGAGAAGAAAUUGAACUAGAUGGAAAUGAUAGACGAGUCUGUUUGGCUAAAGGGAAAAUGUCACAGACAUGACUGGAAUUGAAAGAAAUUUCAGAAUUUGUCUUGGUGAGAACUUGGAGAGGUUCAAUGGAUGGGUGGCCAAGACUUGGUGCCAGAGGUUGGAUUGUUUCCAGAUGUGGUGAGCUAGGAUCAGGUUUUGGUCUUGUGCCAAGUAGUAGAGGCCAUUAUGUUGCUUGUCCAGGCCAAUCAUCUUCCCCGUAAUAAUGUCCUGCACAACACAAAAAUAGGGAAAAAAAUAUCACUAUACAUUGCAAUGCAUGUGUCAAUUUACUGACUGAUAGUAGAUUAACUUGAAAUUGUGGAACUUUGAGCACUUCAUCAACUUUAAUGUGUGGUGUAACUUGUAAUGAGCUAAUUGACUUGAUGUGUGUCUGACCACCAUCAAGCAAUUGAAUGGUGGCUGACUUGGGCAAAAGCUGCAGAUUUGUUAACUCAACAGAAGAAGUCACAUGGUCUGUGGCUCCACUAUUAAUAAUCCAAUAUAAUUUCGAGUGUGGAGCUACAUGAGUCAUGGGAGAUAAUGGUAUAAUAAUACAUGUGGUAUUUGCAUAGUGUUGUGGGUUACCAUCAUUGUUUUUCUGAAGCAUGGCCAUCAGUUGGUUGUAUUCCUCUAUGGUGAAUUUGGGACCAUCACUGGUUGGAGUCUUGUGAUUUGUGUCUGAAUUCUUAACACUCUUUCUCUCUGCCUUGACAUGAUUAGCCGUUGAUUUCCUUCGGUUGGGUGGCUUCACUGACUUGCCAUGUAAUUUGUGGCCAAGUGGUAAGCCAUGUAAAUAAUAGCAGGUUUCAACAUUGUGAUGAUCUUGAUCACAGUGUGAACAAUGAAAGGGUGGUUUUCCCUUGUACGACUGAUGAGAUGAUGCAACAGCCUCUUUAUUGCUUGUCACACUCAUGGAACGGCGGUUGAGAUUGUCACGAUUAAGGGAUACCUCAACCUGCUUCUCUUGUUGGAGAACAAGAGAAUAUGUUUUUCGUGUGUCUGGCAACGGAUCCAUCAACAAAAUCUGUAUGCGUAAUGCGGAAUAGGCUUCAUUCAAUCCCAUAAGGAACUACAUAACUUUGUUCUUCUCUUCUCGCACGUUGAGCUUUUUGAUUCCCCUACAUGUGCAAGUUGCGGGUUCAUUGUAGGACCCCAACUCAUCCCAUAAUGCCUUUAGUUUGGUGUAGUAGGCUAAGAUGGAUUGUUGUCCUUGUUUGUACUCUAUGAUUUCUCUUUUGAUCUGGUAUAUGCGUGAGUUGUUUCCUUGAGAGAAGCGCUCUCACAGGUCAAACCAAACCUCUGCUACAACGUUCACGUAUAUGACGCUGUUUGCGAUGUCUGGAUGUAUGGAAUUCAAAAGCCAUGAAAGUACCAUGUCAUUGUUCUUUGCACUAAGACUGAUUGCUGCAGAAUGACUCCAUGGAUCGUAGUUGUCUCUUUCAAGUAUUUGGGAAGCUAAAAUGAUCCCCGGAUGAUUCGAGCUAUGUAAGGAAUAUGGAUAUGAAGGAUUCGUGACAGCUGCCUCAAUUGAUUUCUCCUCCUCGCCCAUUAUGACGGUGUGUUGCGGAAGCGAUCGAAUUUUUUUUCAGAGUCACCAGGAAUGGUGCUCCGAUACCAUGUUAGAAAAAUAAGGAGAUUGCUGCAGUGAAAAUCUCGCUAUUUCUUGAUAUUGAAAUAUACAAUGGGAGGUCAUUCUUAUACAAUCAAUAGCUAAGCCAUUCUAGGUAAGUCUUGUACAUAAAGUAAAUUACAAUCUCUAAUUUAUACAAUCCUAUAAUCAAGGAAUUCUUGUUUCUUCUCGUUAAUAGAGUAGGCUAUACAACGUGGCCUCCCUUUUCAAGCUUUCUUUCUUUCUUUUUUUAUUUUGCUCACUUCCCUUUUUCUUCUUUUUCUGUCCAUAUGCAAACAACUUAUUUAUGUUUGUUUUUGUUUCAAAGCAGCACACUCAUACACAGAAGAAAUUAGUAUGCCCUUGUUUUUAACAGAGACGAAGAGAGUUGGUCAGAUUUUCCAAAGGCAGAGGUAUAACCCUUUUUUUAUUUGCCUCUGCUAUAGGAAUAAACCCCAUCACCUUUGCUUCAUUCGUCAAUUCCCUUUUUUUUCUUCUUUGCUGCACUUGGCGGUAGAGAAUUAACUUCUCAUUUUUCAUUUUCAAGCAGAGAGAAGGAGAAACAACAUGACGAAAGUAAAGACCCAUUUCGUUUGCUAACUGUCAUAGAUCUCUAAACCCAUUUUUUUUAGGACAUGCCUAAAAUUUCUUUCAUCCGCAGAGGUUCUGGGUUUCUCACCCAUAUGAAUUUUUACAUCCAAUUAAUUUUGGGGUUAAACACCCAUGGAUUUGCAUCCAAAUAACUAAAGUUGAUAUUUAAAGGACAUUUUCAUCAAUUUAUUAUAAUUAAAAACUUACAUUAUUUAAGCUAACAUAAUUAAAAAUAAUAGGAAAAAAAAGAAGAAAAUCAACCUAAUCAUGUUCUUCUUGUUUUUGUUUUUGUUUUUUUAAUUCUUUUAGUUUUAGAUUUUUUAAUUUUUUAAUUAUAAUGACUUGGCUUAACAAAAAAUUUAAUGGAGUUACACGUAGGUGGUAAAUUACUGCACUUUAUAAAUUUUAGGUAGUUAAUUGUAAGAUCCCACAUCGACCAAACGGAGAGGGGGUGAUGUGCCUUAUAUGGCACACCUCGCAUCCAUCUAGCACGAGGCUUUUGGGAGCUCACUGGCUUCGGAGUCGUAAGAACUCCGAAGUUAAGCGAGUGGGAGGCUGGAGCAAUCCCAGGAUGGGUGACCACCCUGGGAAGUUGCUUCGUGAGCUCCCAGAAAC